UCGAGUUUACAACUCCCAAACCCCUGUGAACCAUACCAUCGUUGCUUCGGCGGGAUCGUCCCGGCGCCUCUGGCCCGGACCCAGGCGCCCGCCGGAGACCCAAACUCUUGACUUUUAGAGAUUUCUUCUGAGUAACACAAGUAAAUAAAUUAAAACUUUUAACAACGGAUCUCUUGGUUCUGGCAUCGAUGAAGAACGCAGCGAAAUGCGAUAAGUAAUGUGAAUUGCAGACUUCAGUGAAUCAUCGAAUCUUUGAACGCACAUUGCGCCCGCUAGUAUUCUGGCGGGCAUGCCUGUUCGAGCGUCAUUUCAACCCUCAAGCCUUGCUUGGUGUUGGGGACCGGCCGCGACUUAACCGCCGCGGCCGCCCCCGAAAUACAGUGGCGGUCUCGCUGCAGCCUCCCUUGCGUAGUAGCACACCUCGCACCGGAGCGCAGCGCGGCCACGCCGUUAAACCCCCAACU
rnacentral:misc_RNA from 1 species